rnacentral:rRNA from 1 species
AUGUUAAGGGUAUAUGGUGGAUGCCUUGACAUAAGAAGACGAUGAAGGACGUAGCAGCCUGCGAUAAGCCUCGGUUAGGUGGCAAGCAACCUUUGAUCCGAGGAUUUCCGAAUGGGGAAACCUGCCUUAUUGGAGAUGAGGCGCCCCCCGGUUUUUAACCGGGGAGGGGACAACCCGGCGAAUUGAAACAUCUUAGUAGCCGGAGGAAAAGAAAAAAAUGUCGUGUUUACACGAUAAUAUUCCCUGAGUAGCGGCGAGCGAAAGGGGAGGAGUCUAAACUCCAUAAACUGCGUUUAACAAACCGCUUCGGUGGUGAGUUUUACAGAAGGUUCUAGGACCAUAUGUUUAUGGGGAGUUGCAAGAACGUUGCGUUCACUACCUAGAAAAAGUGAGGUAGAGUUACAAUUAAUAACUUUCCUAGUUGAAGUGAGCUGGAAAGCUCCGCCAGAGAAGGUGAUAGCCCUGUAAUGCGAAAGGAGUUAUUACUCUACUGCAACAUUUCUUAAGUACCGCGGAACUCGUGAAAUUCCGUGGGAAUCCGGGACGACUAUGUCCCAAGACUAAAUACUUCUUAUGAUCGAUAGCGAACAAGUACCGUGAGGGAAAGGUGAAAAG